rnacentral:rRNA from 1 species
GACGAACGCUGGCGGCGUGCUUAACACAUGCAAGUCGAACGGAAAGGCCCUGCUUUUGUGGGGUGCUCGAGUGGCGCACGGGUGAGUAACACGUGAGUAACCUGCCCUUGACUUUGGGAUAACUUCAGGAAACUGGGGCUAAUACCGGAUAGGAGCUCCUGCUGCAUGGUGGGGGUUGGAAAGUUUCGGCGGUUGGGGAUGGACUCACGGCUUAUCAGCUUGUUGGUGGGGUAGUGGCUUACCAAGGCUUUGACGGGUAGCCGGCCUGAGAGGGUGACCGGCCACAUUGGGACUGAGAUACGGCCCAGAAUCCUACGGGAGGCAGUAGUGGGGAAUAUUGCGCAGUAGGCGGGAGCCUGAUGCGACAACGCCGCGUGCGGGAUGACGGCCUUCGGGUUGUAAACCGCUUUCGCCUGUGACGAAGCGUGAGUGACGGUAAUGGGUAAAGAAGCACCGGCUAACUACGUG